rnacentral:rRNA from 1 species
AUUGAACGCUGGCGGCGUGCUUAACACAUGCAAGUCGAACGUGAAAGUCCUUCGGGGCGAGUAAAGUGGCGCACGGGUGAGUAACGCGUGGAUAAUCUACCCUUAAGAUGGGGAUAACGGCUGGAAACGGUCGCUAAUACCGAAUACGCUCCUGAUUUUAUCGUUGGGGGGAAAGAUGGCCUCUGCUUGCAAGCUAUCGCUUAAGGAUGAGUCCGCGUCCCAUUAGCUAGUUGGCGGGGUAACGGCCCACCAAGGCGACGAUGGGUAGCCGGUCUGAGAGGAUGACCGGCCACACUGGAACUGGAACACGGUCCAGACUCCUACGGGAGGCAGCAGUGGGGAAUAUUGCGCAAUGGGCGAAAGCCUGACGCAGCGACGCCGCGUGAGGGAUGAAGGUUCUCGGAUCGUAAACCUCUGUCAGGGGGGAAGAAACCCCCUCGUGUGAAUAAUGCGAGGGCUUGACGGUACCCCCAAAGGAAGCACCGGCUAACUCCGUGCCAGCAGCCGCGGUAAUACGGAGGGUGCAAGCGUUAAUCGGAAUCACUGGGCGUAAAGCGCACGUAGGCGGCUUGGUAAGUCAGGGGUGAAAUCCCACAGCCCAACUGUGGAACUGCCUUUGAUACUGCCAGGCUUGAGUACCGGAGAGGGUGGCGGAAUUCCAGGUGUAGGAGUGAAAUCCGUAGAUAUCUGGAGGAACACCGGUGGCGAANGCGGCCACCUGGACGGUAACUGACGCUGANGUGCGAAAGCGUGGGUAGCAAACAGGAUUAGAUACCCUGGUAGUCCACGCUGUAAACGAUGGGUGCUGGGUGCUGGGAUGUAUGUCUCGGUGCCGUANCUAACGCGAUAAGCACCCCGCCNGGGGNGUACGGUCGCAAGGCUGAAACUCNAAGAAAUUGACGGGGGCCCGCACNAGGCGGUGGAGGUAAUGUGGUUUAAUUCGAUGCAACGGCGAAGAUCCUUACUCAGGCUUGACAUCUAGGGAACCCUUUCGGAAUGAGGGUGCCUUCGGGGAGCCUAAGAACAGUGCUGCAUGGCUGUCGUCAGCUCUUGCGUGA